AGUGAACGCUGGCGGCAGGCCUAAUACAUGCAAGUCGAACGGCAGCACAGCAGAGCUUGCUCUGUGGGUGGCGAGUGGCGGACGGGUGAGGAAUACAUGGGAAUCUGCCCAGUCGUGGGGGAUAACGUAGGGAAACUUACGCUAAUACCGCAUGCGCCCUUCGGGGGAAAGCCGGGGACCUUCGGGCCUGGCGCGAUUGGAUGAGCCCAUGUCGGAUUAGCUAGUUGGUGGGGUAAAGGCCCACCAAGGCGACGAUCCGUAGCUGGUCUGAGAGGAUGAUCAGCCACACUGGAACUGAGACACGGUCCAGACUCCUACGGGAGGCAGCAGUAGGGAAUAUUGGACAAUGGGCGCAAGCCUGAUCCAGCCAUGCCGCGUGAGUGAAGAAGGCCUUCGGGUUGUAAAGCUCUUUUGUCCGGAAAGAAAAGCAUCCAGUUAAUACCUGGGUGUCCUGACGGUACCGGAAGAAUAAGCACCGGCUAACUUCGUGCCAGCCGCCGCGGUAAGAC
rnacentral:rRNA from 1 species